CCAGGAAGGCAGCAGGCGCGUAAAUUACCCAAUGUGGACUCCACGAGGUAGUGACGAGAAAUAUCAAUGCGGGGCGCUUCGCGUCUUGCUAUUGGAAUGAGAGCAAUGUAAAACCCUCAUCGAGGAUCAACUGGAGGGCAAGUCUGGUGCCAGCAGCCGCGGUAAUUCCAGCUCCAGAAGCGUAUGCUAAAGUUGUUGCAGUUAAAAAGCUCGUAGUUGAAUUUCUGGUGUGGGAGCCCAGGCCUCGGUGCGAAUGCGCCUUGUCUUGCCUUGCGGCUCCUUUGCCAUCCUCGUUUUUCUUUUGAAGAACGUCAUUCACUGUAAUCAAAGCAGAGUGUUCCAAGCAGGCCGUAGGGCCGGUAUGUUUAUUAUGGGAUGAUCAGAUAGGACUCGGGUGCUAUUUUGUUGGUUUGCACAUCUGAGUAAUGAUUAAUAGGAACAGUCGGGGGUAUCCGUAUUUAGGAGCUAGAGGUGAAAUUCUUGGAUUUCCGAAAGACGAACUACAGCGAAGGCAUUUACCAAGCAUGUUUUCAUUAAUCAAGAACGAAAGUCUGGGGAUCGAAGAUGAUUAGAUACCAUCGUA
rnacentral:rRNA from 1 species